rnacentral:lncRNA from 1 species
GAAGAUUUUAAGUGUAAGAAACUUAAGAGUGGAAUCCUGAAAUGGAGAGCUGGUCUUUGUAAAUGUGAUAGAAUGUAAUUAUUUCUUGUUCAUGUCUCUUUAGGGAUUUCAGGGACCCUCAGGAUCACCAGGUGUUCCAGGAUCUCCAGGAAUGCAAGUAUGCAGUCCACUUACACCUAUUGUAGAAAUCUCAUUUGUAGUGAGUCAAAAACCAAAAUUAACAGAAUCUUAUUUUGUGGUUAAUUUAGGGAGCCCGAGGACCUCCAGGUUACAAAGGAGAACCAGGGAGGGAUGGCCAAAAGGGUGACCGUGGACUUCCAGGCUUCUCUGGGCUUCAUGGGAUGCCAGGAUUAAAGGGUGACAUGGGCCCCAAAGGAGAGAAAGGAUCACCUGGAGUUUAUG